CUUAGCAUAGUGUGGUAUCUUUGCUGAAUAACUAAGAUUCAGUUUAGAGGAAAUAACAGAAUUCAGACUCCCUAAAGCGAGAACAUAGCAAUUUACCGAACAUAUUACAAACCACUAUGUGUCCCAUGAUCCGCUACCCCUUUCAAUAAAUAUUUUCUCCUCUUUAGGGAAUGCUCUGGUCACAGAUCCAUCUUAUACUAGGUGAUUUAAGUGCCAGAGUGGAGAGUUGAAGCUCUUACAUCUUCCUCGGCAGAAUAUAAGUCAGGCAGCUAUAUAUCAAUUGCCCUGGAUUGUUCAGUACAAAAAUUUGGGGUUUGAUCUCUCCUUCAUUACCAGUCCACCUCAAUCUGCCACUGCUUGGAGUUCUCCCAACUUCAGUUUCCUGGCUGUGACCCCUAGAUUCUUCAUUUGCCCCAGGGGCUGCUUCUGUGAAGGGAGAAGUUGUGGAGGGGAAUUUCAGGGUGGCUCUGUAAAGCAAAGAGACAGAGCAUGAGUGGAGGAGGGACAGAGAGAGACAGAGACACAGAAUCCGAAGCAGGUUCCAGGCUCCGAGCUGUCAGCGCAGGGCCUGACGCAGGGCUCCAACUCACGGACUGCGAGAUCAUGACCUGAGCUGAAGUCGGACGCUUAACUGAGCCAGCCAGGCACCCUGGUCACCCAUACUAUUCUUGCAUCUGAAAGUAUCCCCCCAAAGCACAUCCCUUCCUUCUCCAUUGUAGUACAGAGAAAGCAAACCUGAAUAGGCAAAUGUUCAGAAAUAGUGAAACAAAAAAACGGAACACAGGUCUUCUUAUCCCUCUCACCUGAGCACAUAGGAGCUAUAUUCCCUAAUCUUAAAGCAAAUGUAUUUUUGAGCCUCACUAUUCUUAUGUACUGUGUUAAUAUAACAAAUAUGUACUCUUCUCACAAUUAUUUAUAAAGAACAUUUAGUAAUAGAGCUCUGUACAAAUGUAAAAAGAAAAAAAAAAAAAAACAACCCUCCUGCUAGGGUCAGCACAUAUUCCAUCCAGCUCAGGGCUCUGUGUGACUAAAGAACAUGUUGGGAAGAAAAUUCAAAGGUGUGGUAGUUCCUGAGCUUGACCUUGGAAAGCUCAAGUUGCACCCAAUGCACUUUCAUUUUCCCUCAAAACCCAGUAUAAGCUGACCACUUAUGAAUCUACUCAACUCUUAAUAUUGCCCUUCAUUAUGGAUUAAGAGAUCACAUAGUAGAGGCAAACCUCAUCUCUAUUAUCACUUUCAUAAGAAAGAAAACGCCAAGACAGAUGAAUGGCUGGAGGUCUGCACAGAGUGCCAGCAAAAAGUAUUCCUCGCUGACUGUGUCUUGAUAUCACACGAUAUCACACGUUGCAGGGCAACGUGCAUUGCUUGGGCCCGCGCACAAAGUCACACAAAAGAGGGCAGGGAAUAGGAUGAUUAGCCAAAUAAAUGCAUCCUUUACUGGCACCAUCUCAGCUUUAGACAAACUUUUUAUAAUUAAGCCCCUCAAAUGACGAACAGUAAGAACAGAUGGGUUUGUCAUCAUGCCCUAUAGAUCCGGAAACCUGGGCUUUACAGGACUGACAGCAGGAAUUGUUCCAAAAUCAACUGUCCUCCGCUGAGAAUUCCCUGUUAGCUGUCAAAGAAGGCUGGCUCCAUUGAAUUCAGCCCUCAGAGUGCAAAAGGGGAGAAAAGAUGUCUCAGAGACAAAAACCUUCCGCUGCACUCAGAGCCAUUAAAGAAGCCAGCAGCAUCUGGAUCCCAGAUGUUCCAAGUGGGUCUCCCUCUGAGAAGUGGCUGUCCUAGUCUUCCCCGGAGCUCAGAGCAGGUCAAGAGAGAAGGUACCCAUGCAUCCAGCUAGGAAGGUGGAAGGGCCUGCUCCUGGGUGCAGACCAGAGGCAAUGCUUCUUUUUCUAGGCUGGAGCCUUCAGUUCAAGGUUCCUGUGUUUCCAUUCCCUCCCCUUGGGUGAGACUAUUCCUGUCUUAGGGUAGAAUGAAGAUGACAUAGAAGUGAUGGGAAGAGGCAUCUGAUCACGUGGCUUUUAAAGUCCCUGUGGCACACACAGUGCCCAGUACUCCUCAAACCCAGGCCGCUUUGCAGUGAGGCGGGGCCAGAGGGCUGAGUUCUGGCCAAUGGAGUGUGGGCGGAAGUGACGCACUCACUUCCAGGCUUGGCCCACAAAAACGCACCUCAGCUGUGCUCCACAGUUUCCCUCCCCUAUUUACUAAUCAAGCGGACAGGAUCUAGCGGACAGCCCCAAAGUGCUAGUUGAUGGUGGGGCCAAGAGACGGAGGGGGCACCUGUCCUGCCAAGUAGGAAUAGUCACAUCAGAUUUCGCCUGA